ACCACUAAAUGAUGAUCAACAAGGGACUUAAUACUGAUUCAUGUGAUGUCACCUUUUUCAGUUCUGAUUGG